GACGAAGGAUGCAAGCGUUAUCCGGAUUCAUUGGGUUUAAAGGGUGCGUAGGCGGACUGAUAAGUCAGUGGUGAAAUCUCUCGGCUUAACCGAGAGACUGCCAUUGAUACUGUCUGUCUAGAGUAUAGAUGACGUUGGCGGAAUAUGACAUGUAGUGGUGAAAUACUUAGAUAUGUCAUAGAACACCGAUUGCGAAGGCAGCUAACGAAACUAUAACUGACGCUGAGGCACGAAAGUGCGGGGAUCAAACAGG
rnacentral:rRNA from 1 species